UACGAAGGGGGCUAGCGUUGCUCGGAAUCACUGGGCGUAAAGCGUGCGUAGGCGGUGUCUUAAGUUUGUUGUGAAAUCUCCCGGCUUAACCGGGAGGGUGCGGCGAAUACUGAGAUGCUGGAGUGCGGGAGAGGUAAGCGGAAUUCCUGGUGUAGCGGUGAAAUGCGUAGAUAUCAGGAGGAACACCUGCGGUGUAGACGGCUUACUGGACCGUAACUGACGCUGAGGCACGAAAGCGUGGGUAGCAAACAGG
rnacentral:rRNA from 1 species